GCUGAUGCGUUGUUGGGUAGGGGAGCGUUCUGUAAGCCUGCGAAGGUGACCUGUGAGGGUUGCUGGAGGUAUCAGAAGUGCGAAUGCUGACAUAAGUAACGAUAAAGCGGGUGAAAAGCCCGCUCGCCGGAAGACCAAGGGUUCCUGUCCAACGUUAAUCGGGGCAGGGUGAGUCGACCCCUAAGGCGAGGCCGAAAGGCGUAGUCGAUGGGAAACGGGUUAAUAUUCCCGUACUUGGUGUUACUGCGAAGGGGGGACGGAGAAGGCUAUGUUGGCCGGGCGACGGUUGUCCCGGUUUAAGCGUGUAGGUGUGUGUUCCAGGUAAAUCCGGUUCACUUUAACACUGAGGCGUGAUGACGAGGCACUACGGUGCUGAAGCAACAAAUGCCCUGCUUCCAGGAAAAGCCUCUAAGCAUCAGGUAACAUCAAAUCGUACCCCAAACCGACACAGGUGGUCAGGUAGAGAAUACCAAGGCGCUUGAGAGAACUCGGGUGAAGGAACUAGGCAAAAUGGUGCCGUAACUUCGGGAGAAGGCACGCUGACACGUAGGUGAAGUGAUUUACUCACGGAGCUGAAGUCAGUCGAAGAUACCAGCUGGCUGCAACUGUUUAUUAAAAACACAGCACUGUGCAAACACGAAAGUGGACGUAUACGGUGUGACGCCUGCCCGGUGCCGGAAGGUUAAUUGAUGGGGUCAGCGCAAGCGAAGCUCCUGAUCGAAGCCCCGGUAAACGGCGGCCGUAACUAUAACGGUCCUAAGGUAGCGAAAUUCCUUGUCGGGUAAGUUCCGACCUGCACGAAUGGCGUAAUGAUGGCCAGGCUGUCUCCACCCGAGACUCAGUGAAAUUGAACUCGCUGUGAAGAUGCAGUGUACCCGCGGCAAGACGGAAAGACCCCGUGAACCUUUACUAUAGCUUGACACUGAACAUUGAGCCUUGAUGUGUAGGAUAGGUGGGAGGCUUUGAAGUGUGGACGCCAGUCUGCAUGGAGCCGACCUUGAAAUACCACCCUUUAAUGUUUGAUGUUCUAACGUGGACCCGUAAUCCGGGUUGCGGACAGUGUCUGGUGGGUAGUUUGACUGGGGCGGUCUCCUCCUAAAGAGUAACGGAGGAGCACGAAGGUUGGCUAAUCCUGGUCGGACAUCAGGAGGUUAGUGCAAUGGCAUAAGCCAGCUUGACUGCGAGCGUGACGGCGCGAGCAGGUGCGAAAGCAGGUCAUAGUGAUCCGGUGGUUCUGAAUGGAAGGGCCAUCGCUCAACGGAUAAAAGGUACUCCGGGGAUAACAGGCUGAUACCGCCCAAGAGUUCAUAUCGACGGCGGUGUUUGGCACCUCGAUGUCGGCUCAUCACAUCCUGGGGCUGAAGUAGGUCCCAAGGGUAUGGCUGUUCGCCAUUUAAAGUGGUACGCGAGCUGGGUUUAGAACGUCGUGAGACAGUUCGGUCCCUAUCUGCCGUGGGCGCUGGAGAACUGAGGGGGGCUGCUCCUAGUACGAGAGGACCGGAGUGGACGCAUCACUGGUGUUCGGGUUGUCAUGCCAAUGGCACUGCCCGGUAGCUAAAUGCGGAAGAGAUAAGUGCUGAAAGCAUCUAAGCACGAAACUUGCCCCGAGAUGAGUUCUCCCUGAGACUUAGAGUCUCCUGAAGGAACGUUGAAGACGACGACGUUGAUA
rnacentral:rRNA from 1 species